GACGACCGCUGGCGGCGUGCUUAACACAUGCAAGUCGCGCGAUGAAGCUUCUUCGGAAGUGGAUUAGCGGCGGACGGGCGAGUAACACGUUGGCAACCUGCCUUUUAGCGGGGGAUAGCUUUCCCAAUGGAACAUGAAUACCGCAUAACAUCGCGAACUCCCAUGGGGUUGCUCCCAUAGAUUUGUCGCUAGGAGAUGGGCCCGCGUCGCAUUAGCUAGUUGGUAAGGUAACGGCUCACCAAGGCUACGGUGCGUAGCCGACCUGAGAGGGUGAUCGGCCACAUUGGAACUAAGACACGGCCCAGACUCCUACGGGAGGCAGCAGUGGGGAAUAUUGCACAAUGGGCGAAAGCCUGAUGCAGCAACGCCGCGUGAGUGAUGAAGGUCUUCGGAUUGUAAAGCUCUUUGAUCAGGGACGAUAAUGACGGUACCUAAAGAACAAGCCACGGCUAACUACGUGCCAGCCGCCGCAGUAA
rnacentral:rRNA from 1 species